CAGUCGCCACGGUAAUACGUAGGGUGCGAGCGUUAAUCGGAAUUACUGGGCGUAAAGCGUGCGCAGGCGGUUGUGUAAGACAGGUGUGAAAUCCCCGGGCUUAACCUGGGAACUGCGCUUGUGACUGCACAGCUAGAGUAUGGCAGAGGGGGGUGGAAUUCCACGUGUAGCAGCGAAAUGCGUAGAGAUGUGGAGGAACACCGAUGGCGAAGGCAGCCCCUGGGCCAAUACUGACGCUCAUGCACGAAAGCGUGGGGAGCAAACAGGAUUAGAUACCCCCGUAGUCCCUGUCUCUUAUACA
rnacentral:rRNA from 1 species